AUUGAACGCUGGCGGCAGGCCUAACACAUGCAAGUCGAACGAGCGGCGGACGGGUGAGUAAUGUCUGGGAAACUGCCUGAUGGAGGGGGAUAACUACUGGAAACGGUAGCUAAUACCGCAUACCAUCGGAUGUGCCCAUAUGGGAUUAGCUAGUAGGUGGGGUAACGGCUCACCUAGGCGACGAUCCCUAGCUGGUCUGAGAGGAUGACCAGCAACACUGGAACUGAGACACGGUCCAGACUCCUACGGGAGGCAGCAGUGGGGAAUAUUGCACAAUGGGCGCAAGCCUGAUGCAGCCAUGCCGCGUGUAUGAAGAAGGCCUUCGGGUUGUAAAGUACUUUCGGCAGGGAGGCGGUACCCGAAGAAGAAGCAACGGCUAACUCCGUGCCAGCAGCCGCGGUAAUAC
rnacentral:rRNA from 1 species